rnacentral:rRNA from 1 species
GUCUAUGGCCAUGCCAAUGUGAACAAGCCUGAUGUCUGAUCUCAGAAGCUAGCAUCCUGGUUAUUACUUGGAUGGGAGAUCACCUAGGAAGACCAGGUGCUAUAGGCA